rnacentral:lncRNA from 1 species
GUUCCUGCCUGAACCAUGCACACUAAUCAUUUAAUGUUCUACAGAAGAAAAGAACAAACAGAGCAGGGAGGCAGAUGUGGCCACAUACUGGAUCUACACUUAAAACAGUGAAUGGCUGCUACCCCCACCUCCUGCAGUAGGAACAGGAAGAAAGGAAGGAUCACCUAUAGAAAACUCACCCUGAAAAGAUGUGGAGACAGGACUCAAGGAGGUCCCAUUUCCAAAUGGAAGAAGUAAAAUUUUAACAGGAUGAAGUCUUUGACCCGAACCUAAAUACAGACCAGAAUUCUGAGCCCAAAAACUAUCUCCAGCAUCCGGAGAAGAAGCAUCAUGAAAGGGGAGGAGAGAGCUGUUUAUAUAUAAAAUAAGUUGAAUUUGCAAGAAAGAACCGACUGUCUUUUUCUUUAAAAAUUGUAGGUAGUAUCAAAGUUUUUCUCCUCUUUACAGAUAAAAACAAAAAGGCUAACGGAAUGCAGUCGACCGAGAACUAGUUUCUUACAUUUCCAUUGAGGGUAUCUUUCUCUAGAUCUGUCAUUUUUCAGAAUUUUCCAAGUAAUAAAGUCACAGGCUUUUUUGUUAGGUGGCUGGAAAGAGAAAUGUAUUUGUCAUUCUGUCUGAUCUUCCAAAGCAUUUUUCAGUGUUGUUUUUGUUGCUGUUAUCUUGUUGAAUUUUUUAUCAGACUAUUAUUGGUAUCACCAAUAAAG